UCCCCACCGUGUUCAGGGACAACCCUGUGAUCAUGGUUUUGGUCACAUAGCUUCCAAGUGAGUGUUGUGCAAACAUUUGCUAGGAUCUCUCGGGGAGCCUGUUAGAAAAGAAACUCCUGAGCCUGCUCCAGAGCUUCUGUUCAGCAGGCCUGAGGUGGGACCAUACACCUGUCUUUUCAGCAAGCCCCCCCCCACCUCUGAGGAUGCACCCCAAAGCUAGAGAAUUCCUGCUCUGAGCCAUCUCUGAAAGCACCAAGAGCCAGCUCACGGAGGAGAUGCCAGCUCACGGAGGAAAAUCUGGAAGGUGUUGAAGCAUAGACGCUGGAACAUAAAAUGACUCAUGAUCUCACUGGGAGAAGGGCUGGGAACAUCGUGGGCUCUCUUCUCCCCGCGCUCCUCUCUCCGGGUCUCUGUUUCCCUCAUUCCACGAUGUUUAGAACCAUCGGCGCACUACAUCAGACUAGAGGUCUGGGGUCACCCGACCAUCCCGCCACAAGCCCCUCCGAGGCAUCACUGUGUCCAGAUUUUGCAAACUGCACCUCCUGAAGGGGCUGGGGUCUGUCCACUUCGCCCCAUCUGCCGUGGCAGCACUUCCUCCGUGGUUCGCACCCCCACAGCAGCCUCCUGGGAAGGCACCUCCCUGGGGCCCCUCUCAGUCCACGGUGUGGAUAUGGCAGCAAGCUAUGCAUUUUGCAUAUAUUAGCAAAUCCAUGAGGCAGGUGCUGUCUUCAUUGUACAGGUGAGGAGCCUGAAGCUCAGAGAGGUGAAGGAACAUCCUCAAGGCCACGCUCUGAAAUCAACAAAAGAUACAUCAGUUUAUUGUGGGAAACAUCAGAACAUGCAGAGAUAUUAACAAAGAGAAGUCACUCAGAGAUGACUGUCAUUAACAUUUUGGUGUAUUUCUUCGUAGACAUUUUCCUAUGUCUCUGCAUAGUAACAUACUGUCCAGAGUGCUUGUAAUCUGCUAGACGGUUUGAUGAGACCAAGUUUUCAUGGUAUUAGCCACGGCAAUAUUUGUAUUCAUAUUUUAGGGUAUGGCUGAACUGAAAUUUGCUUUUGCUCAACUCAGCCCCUCUUGUGAACAUUAGGCACUUUGCACUUCACCUGCUGAAAACGUGGUAGUCAUAAACACGCUGGUAGCUCAAUCGUCCCACCUAUCUUUACUAUGUUAUUCAUUCCUAGCAGUGGGGCCUGGGUCAAAAGUUCUGCAGGGUUUUAAGGCUUUGGAUCAGUGGUUCGGGAUUGUCCUCUGGGACGGGCUGAGAAGCACACAUGCCUGCCGGUGGUGACAAGCAUUCCUUCCUAGUGCAGAGUCAGGUCUGCACCUGGCACCCCCUACCCAUCCAGGUUGGGUCCCUGGCAUUCAGUUAUGUGGAACAGACCAGAAAAAUUAAAAAAGAACCCCCUCCCGCAUCUUCCCCGAAGGACCACUGGCCUGCUGUCUCUCCCCGCACUCCCCCACUGGAGUUCAUACCCACUGAAUCACGACCCCCUUGUGGCUAAGCCCUGGUGCGCCACCCUGCAAAAUCAAAGGUGGUGUCUAGGCACAGAAAUGGCUCCGUGACCUAUGUCCCCUUUGUUCUAAUCUAGAAUCCAGCCAGGAGUAUGCGUGUCAGAAGCCAGGGGUGAUUGUGUUUUUUCUCCUUCCUCUUUCUUUAGGUCAGGAAGAUUCCUGCAGCUGCUGAGUUAGUACUUUUAAGAAAGUACUGGAUUCCCUCUCACAAUGGGACUUUGAUUUUUUUAAGAAAAAGGUUUCAUAAGUUUUCAAAUAACCUGGAGCAGUUGAGCAAACUUAAUGUGCAGCGUGGUCCCUGCUGGCUGGGUUUGAGGGGCUGGGUCUCUCUGAGUGGAUGCUGGUGAGGUGCAGAGGAAGAAGAAAAGGUGCCUGAGGGCCUGUGUGGAAGGCCUGUCACACAGCACAUCCUGGGAAAUCUGUCCAGGAAGCAGCCAGGCGGGCAUCAGCCAGGCGGGCAUCAGCAUCUUCACUGUGCAGAUGAGAAACUGAGGCCGCAGAGGUGAAGGGACAUGCCCAGGAUCACUAAGGCAAGACGGGGGAAGAGCAGAGAUCUUGGGCAUGAUCUCGGCUCACUGCAACCUCCACCUCCCAGGUUCAAGGGAUUCUCCUGCUUCAGCCU
rnacentral:lncRNA from 1 species